rnacentral:rRNA from 1 species
CAGUAGCCGCGGGAAUACGUAGGUGGCAAGCGUUGUCCGGAUUUAUUGGGCGUAAAGCGAGCGCAGGCGGUUCCUUAAGUCUGAUGUGAAAGCCCCCGGCUCAACCGGGGAGGGUCAUUGGAAACUGGGGAACUUGAGUGCAGAAGAGGAGAGUGGAAUUCCAUGUGUAGCGGUGAAACGCGUAGAUAUAUGGAGGAACACCAGUGGCGAAGGCGACUCUCUGGUCUGUAACUGACGCUGAGGCUCGAAAGCGUGGGUAGCAACAGGAUUAGAUACCCGAGUAGUCCCUGUCUCUUAUACA